AAAAUGUGACAAAUUGUAGUGUUGUAGCCGUUAGCUGGGCUCGAUUCCCAGGCUCUCACUCUUUUUAUAACAGGUACUCUGUGUGGAUCUUCGAGUCCCACGUGCACCCGUUCACAGGUCCCGUAUAAUUAGUGGGAUGAAACGUAACAGCUAUUAAUUUACUGUUUUCAACUUUUUACAUACUUGUUAAUAGAAAUAGACAAUGAUUGUUUUAAUUGCGUCAACUGUGUCAACGAGAAUAAUAUGGGAUGCGUAUUUCGAUACGAGAGGUUAUUUUAGUUAGGUUGGUAAAACUUUAGAGUUUAAACGAAUAGUAAACCUUGAUUGCUGUAU
rnacentral:misc_RNA from 1 species